UGGAACUGAGAAGAAUUGUUGCUACCAGUCCUUUCCGAAGUGAGCAGUCCUUAAAUGAGGAAAAUCUGGCUUCCAGAAGCACAAGUAGCUCAUAUGGACUAAUUCAAGAUUAGCCAAUCGGCUUCCAAGUUUGACAUUCUCCUAACCUCUUAAAAAUCCCUCCAACACUGCGUCGCAUAGAUAGGUUUGAGAGCUUUGCUUCGGUCUCUUUGUCCAGCCUCGUGAUAAAGUCCUUUUCUCAAAAGCUAGUACCAUAUUGGCUUCUAUGCACAUCAGGUGGCAAGCCAUUUGCUGGUUAAGAGAUGCUCAAGACUUUUGCUCAGGAAUAGAUGGAACAGUGACUCUGUGGCCUAGAUCUCAUCAAAGAAAGGAAAGUAAAAGCUUCUUCUGGGAAAGUUGCGUUCCUGAAAAAAUAUGAACAGACUCAGCUGGACUGCUCCUUAACCUUUCACUUAUACUCCCUCCUUCUGCUAUGGAUGUGGACACAAUACCUGGAGGUGCAGCAGCCGUCUUGUGACACAAGAAGAGACUCCAACACAUUGUGAAUGGCAGAGAGAAAGGAGCUGGCUCUUUUUCUUUUUUACUUCCAAUUAACUGUUUUGUAAUUGCAGUGACUUCUCGGCAAUGUUUUACACAAAUUCUGUUUGCUCCACUUAUGACAUUCUUUGGCUUUCUUAGCGCCAUGUUGGCAGACUUUCUGAUUCCUUCUCAUGUUCCUCUCCUUAGCUGAGUCCUUGACGGUGGAGUUUGGCAGGAUUUAGUGGUUCAUUCUUUUGUCCAUUGUGAGCUAUUUUCUGAGUACUCUUGUGCUAAGGGCAGCAGAUGCAGCCAUGGAGAUAGAUGUGGUCCUUGCCUUCAUGAAGCUUCCAUUCUAGUCUAGCCCACUUCCCCAACUGCUGUCUACAACUACUGUCCACACUUCUGGAAAAUCUCAUUUACUUCCUCGGCUUUACCACGUGGGGCUGUUCUAUUCUGAUGCAAGACUUCACGCUGAGUUAUCCAGCUAAUCAACAGUCAACAGAUCUCCUAGAAAAAAAGAAGAAGAAGAAGCUGAACUGCUUUUGGUCCGAAAGUUUGAAAGAAAGCGAUGAGGACAAUUUCCCUUCAAAGCAGAUCAAUAGCAGCAGAUUCAGAUGAAAGACAUCGAAAAAUCACAAAUCUAAAAGAUCCAGGACAAUCUCAUGGGCAUGGGAAUUGCCACACGGGCCAGAACCCAAGGC
ensembl:lncRNA